AACAAACGCUGGCGGCGUGCCUAACACAUGCAAGUCGUACGAGAAAGGGUCUUUCGGGACCUGAGUAAAGUGGCGCACGGGUGAGUAACGCGUGGAUAAUCUGCCCUUCAGUUGGGAAUAACUCAUCGAAAGGUGGGCUAAUACCGAAUAACGCUGUGAGACUUUGGUCGAUCAGCCAAAGAGAGCCUCUGCUUGCAUGCCCUCGCUGAAGGAUGAGUCCGCGUACCAUUAGCUAGUUGGUAGGGUAAUGGCCUACCAAGGCGACGAUGGUUAGCUGGUCUGAGAGGAUGAUCAGCCACACUGGAACUGAGACACGGUCCAGACUCCUACGGGAGGCAGCAGUGAGGAAUCUUGCGCAAUGGGGGCAACCCUGACGCAGCAACGCCGCGUGAGUGAGGAAGGUCUUCGGAUCGUAAAGCUCUGUCGGAUGGAAAGAACCGCAUGGGGGUAAAUAGCCCCUGUGUCUGACGGUACCAUCAGAGGAAGCACCGGCUAACUCCGUGCCAGCAGCCGCAGUAA
rnacentral:rRNA from 1 species